rnacentral:rRNA from 1 species
GAUGAACGCUGGCGGCGUGCCUAAUACAUGCAAGUAGAACGCUGAAGGAGGAGCUUGCUCUUCUGGAUGAGUUGAGAACGUGUGAGUAACGCGUAGGCAACCUGCCUGGUAGCGGGGGACAACGCUUGGAAACGAUAGCUAAUACCGAAUGACAACAGUUAUUGCAUGAUAACUGUUUAAAAGGGGCAACUGCUCCACUACCAGAUGGACUUGCGUUGUAUUAGCUAGUUGGUGGGGUAACGGCUCACCAAGGUGACGAUACAUAGCCGACCUGAGAGGGUGGUCGGGCACACUUGGACUGAGACACCGCCCAGACUCCUACGGGAGGCAGCAGUAGGGAAUCUUCGGCAAUGGGCGGAAGUCUGACCGAGCAACGCCGCGUGAGUGGAGGAGGUUUUCGGAUCGUAAAGCUCUGUUUUAAGAGAAGGACGAGGGUGGGGGUGGAAAGUUCACACUGUGACGGUAUCUUACCAGAAAGGGACGGCUAACUACGUG